rnacentral:rRNA from 1 species
CGAAAAGUUAUGUAAGGGCGUAUGGGGGAUGCCUAGGCUCUCAGAGGCGAAGAAGGACGUGAUAAGCUGCGAAAAGUUGCGGGGAUUGGCACAUACGAGUUGAUCCGCAAAUAUCCGAAUGGGGCAACCCAGUACAUUGAAGAUGUACUACACCUUAUAGG